rnacentral:rRNA from 1 species
ACACGAGCGGCGAACGGGUGAGUAACACGUGGGUAACCUGCCCUGUACUCUGGGAUAAGCCUGGGAAACUAGGUCUAAUACCGGAUAUGACCCGCGGCGGCAUGGUGGUGGGUGGAAAGUUCCGGCGGUAUGGGAUGGACCCGCGGCCUAUCAGCUUGUUGGUGGGGUAAUGGCCUACCAAGGCGACGACGGGUAGCCGGCCUGAGAGGGUGACCGGCCACACUGGGACUGAGACACGGCCCAGACUCCUACGGGAGGCAGCAGUGGGGAAUAUUGCACAAUGGGCGAAAGCCUGAUGCAGCGACGCCGCGUGAGGGAUGACGGCCUUCGGGUUGUAAACCUCUUUCAGCAGGGACGAAGCGCAAGUGACGGUACCUGCAGAAGAAGCACCGGCUAACUACGUGCCAGCAGCCGCGGUAAUACGUAGGGUGCGAGCGUUGUCCGGAAUUAUUGGGCGUAAAGAGCUCGUAGGCGGUUUGUUGCGUCGGCUGUGAAAACUUCACGCUUAACGUGGAGCCUGCAGUCGAUACGGGCAGACUUGAGUUCGGCAGGGGAGACUGGAAUUCCUGGUGUAGCGGUGAAAUGCGCAGAUAUCAGGAGG